CUCAGAGUUAACUCGGGGUUAUCAGGCAAACUCAGGGUUGACAAACUCUGACCGCCGACACUGGAGUUAAACGGUACUACGAAGGUGGAUAAGACGUAGGAUUGGCAAAGUUAACGCUCGUUGUCGCUGGGUGGCUGCCGGUACACGCUGACAUCAGCAGGAACCACAGGAAGAAGCCUCGAGGUUUCAGUAAAGACGGUGUGCAUCGCGGAGGAGGAUGUGGGAGGGGCGGGACGACCUGCAACAGAGGUCAUGACCUGCUGAAACUAGCGAGGAGGGAACGUCUGCCCCGUCCCCUGUGGAAAUGACACCUUUGAUUGUUGCCGAGGCUGAGUCAAAUUAUACCUAUAUCCCAAGAAGACUUGGGCUGGCUGUGUGAGCGCAUGUGUGAACAUGUGUGUAUGUGACGGAGCUGCAUGUGUCAGCAGAGUCGGUGUGAAAAAAACCAAACGCCGCCUUUCGCCGAAGAAGCUGCAAAAACUGCAACUCUGCUUGUUUUUCUUUCUCUUACCUGAACUGAAAGUUGACCCGGUCAUCUGCCUGUUGAGUGAGUUUUGUGACCCGAUCAGACCUGUUAAAAACCCCCACAAGGUCCCAAAGAGAGAGAAGUUUUAGUUUUAGAUUUUCAUCAUAGACUGCAAGAAGAUUCUUUCUUUCUUUCUUUCUUUCUGAGGGGCAAGCUUAGAUUUUAGUUUUUUGGUUAUUGAUCACAUUGUGUUGAUGUAGUUGCUUGUCCUCCAAGAGUCUCUGAAUAUCCCUAAAUAGAACAAUAACCUAAAUGUAUAGUUUCAUACAGUUCCAUAAAAGGCAAAACAAGAAAAGCAGGAUUGUAAGACAAAAAAAUUAAAGAAAAACAACACAGAGAUUCAUCGUGUGCUUUAAAGGACAUUGAAUUAGUACUUAACUUAAGAAGAAAUUAAAUACAGGACCCAAAAUAUGAUGGAUAUUUAAAUUUUAGCAUAUGUUUUGUAUUUCACUAAUAUUUAGAUUGUACUGUAUUUCUUGUGAUGUUCACACUAUGCAAUUU